rnacentral:rRNA from 1 species
AGUGAACGCUGGCGGUAGGCCUAACACAUGCAAGUCGAACGGCAGCACAGUAAGAGCUUGCUCUUACGGGUGGCGAGUGGCGGACGGGUGAGGAAUACAUCGGAAUCUACUUUUUCGUGGGGGAUAACGUAGGGAAACUUACGCUAAUACCGCAUACGACCUACGGGUGAAAGCAGGGGAUCUUCGGACCUUGCGCGAUUGAAUGAGCCGAUGUCGGAUUAGCUAGUUGGCGGGGUAAAGGCCCACCAAGGCGACGAUCCGUAGCUGGUCUGAGAGGAUGAUCAGCCACACUGGAACUGAGCCACGGUCCAGACUCCUACGGGAGGCAGCAGUGGGGAAUAUUGGACAAUGGGCGGAAGCCUGAUCCAGCCAUACCGCGUGGGUGAAGAAGGCCUUCGGGUUGUAAAGCCCUUUUGUUGGGAAAGAAAAGCAGCAGGUUAAUACCCCGCUGUUCUGACGGUACCCAAAGAAUAAGCACCGGCUAACUUCGUG